UACGAAGGGGGCUAGCGUUGUUCGGAAUUACUGGGCGUAAAGCGCGUGUAGGCGGGUCUUUAAGUCAGGGGUGAAAUGCCAAGGCUCAACCUUGGAACUGCCUUUGAUACUGGGGACCUUGAGUCCGGGAGAGGUGAGUGGAAUUGCGAGUGUAGAGGUGAAAUUCGUAGAUAUUCGCAAGAACACCAGUGGCGAAGGCGGCUCACUGGCCCGGAACUGACGCUGAGACGCGAAAGCGUGGGAGCAAACAGGAUGAGA
rnacentral:rRNA from 1 species